rnacentral:lncRNA from 1 species
GGUGGGGAGAAGAUCUGAAAAUAUAGGGUUUUGGGUUCUAAGGUGGGAGGGGAGGGAAGAAAGGGGGAAGAAAAAAGAAAGAAAAGAGGUUAGGGUUUUUUAAAACCCUCAACCUCUUAUUUAAAUGACUUAAAGUCAUUUAAAUGGGCUAUUGGGUUAUUGGGCUAUUGGGUUAUUUAAAUGAGUUAUUUAAAAUUUUAAAUGACUAAAUGGGCUAUUGGGUUAGGCGGAUCCGACCCGGAUCCGCCUAACCCGCUCCAGCGCAUGAAGGCAAACGCCUACAUGCGCUGGAGCGCAUGACCGCCUAUGCGACGCCUAGGCGACGCCUAGG